rnacentral:rRNA from 1 species
GAGUGCGUAAUAGCUCACUGGUCGAGAGACGCUGCGCCGAAAAUGUCCGGGGCUCAAGCACGGAACCGAAGCUAUGGCAUUGCGUAAGCAAUGGGUAGGGGAGCGUUCUUAUGGGGAAGAAGCAUUACCGUAAGGAGAUGUGGACACAUAAGAAGUGAGAAUGCCGGUAUGAGUAUCGAAAAGAAAGGUGAGAAUCCUUUCCACCGAAAGCCCGAGGGUUCCUGAGCAACGAUCGUCGUCUCAGGGUAAGUCGGGACCUAAGCCGAGGCACAGACGCAUAGGCGAUGGACAACAGGUUGAAAUUCCUGUACCGGAUGGAGUCAUUUGAGCAAUGGAGUGACGCAGGAGGGCACAUGAUCGCGCGACUGGAAGAGCGCGUCCAAGUGCGUAUGUUGAAUCGGAGGCAAAUCCCCGAUUCUGAAAGCAGAGACAUGAUGGGGAGUUAUAAGCGAUUAUGACGAACUCAUGGAUCCCACACUGCCAAGAAAAACUUCUAGCGAGACGAAAUCCGCCCGUACCGUAAACCGACACAGGUAGGCGGGGAGAGAAUCCUAAGGUGCGCGGGAAAACCCUCGUUAAGGAACUCGGCAAAUUGCAUCCGUAACUUCGGGAGAAGGAUGGCCCUGAGUAGGCGAAGUGCAGAAACGCACGGAACAGAAAAGGGUGGCAGAAAAGAGGCCCAAGCAACUGUUUACCAAAAACACAGGUGCCUGCGAAAGCGAAAGCUGAAGUAUAGGUGCUGACGCCUGCCCGGUGCUGGAAGGUUAAGGAGAGAGGUUAGCGCAAGCGAAGCUUUGAACUGAAGCCCCAGUGAACGGCGGCCGUAACUAUAACGGUCCUAAGGUAGCGAAAUUCCUUGUCGGGUAAGUUCCGACCCGCAUGAAAGGCGUAAUGAUUUGGGCGCUGUCUCAACGAGGGGCCCGGUGAAAUUGAAAUACCUGUGAAGAUGCAGGUUACCCGCGACUGGACAGAAAGACCCCAUGGAGCUUUACUGCAGCUUGAGAUUGAAUCCCGGUGGCAGACGCACAGGAUAGGUGGGAGGCUUUGAGAUAGUGACUUUGGUUGCUAAGGAGCCGACGUUGGGAUACCACCCUUCUGUUGCUGGGAUUCUAACGCGAAGAUUAACAACCUUGCGGACCAUCUCAGGUAGGCGGUUUGACUGGGGCGGUCGCCUCCGAAAGAGUAACGGAGGCG